rnacentral:lncRNA from 1 species
GUUCAAUAGCUUGAAUAUUUGAAAUGAAAAACAUUUUAUAACCUUUAUUUAAACAGCUUAGUUGCCUACAGUUAAGUAGGCGUUUCUCAAAAUUCUACCAUAAUAUUACAUGGCUCAACACAAUCCAUAAAAUUCGUGGCUAAUAUCCUUAAUUGGCUUUUUCCAACCCAUUAUCUUUCCGAUUCUCCUUUAGUACCUCUCAAUAUAGAGACCAGGCAACCAAUUUUUCUUUACCUGAGACUUCUUUGUAAUUGUGGAUGGCUAUGGAGCCUAAUUCUGGCACAGGAACGAAUAUAGAAUUCUGUCUUGGGCACUUCUUGGGAAUCGUUUGCUUUUCUGACAAAAAGGAAUUGGUUGGCUAGUACAACCCUUCACUCUUCUGCUGGGAAUAAGGACCUGAUGGCAGGGGCUGCAGCAGUUAUCUUACAUCUAUGUGCUAAGGGAAAAAGAGACACUUAUUUGUUGAAAUCAUUUGGUCUGAUUUCUGUUACUUGCAGGUGAUGGGCUUCCUAGCUGACACAGAAACCUUGUCCUUUGAAUAACAUAUAUUUGCAAAUUUCCAUAGAGCUUUUCUCAAGUUUCAUUCGAGAAUGUGUUUGAAAAUGGUAGAACACUUGAACCUGGCUCUGUUAGGCUCUAAUGUGUAUUUUAGCUCCAGCCAAUCUAAAACGUGCAGGAGUGAAGCUAUAUGGUUUAGGUUUAAUUGCUUCAGAUUUUUCCAAAGCUGUAACAAAAAAAUUUCUAAUUUAGUACUGCCAUCCAUUUUAUCUUCCUUAAUUUUCAUUUCACAGGUCCAGGGUUUUCUGUCUCCUUUAUUUUCCCAACUUGGGUUACUUGAGAUCUGAGUUGAACUAAAUAAAAAUUAUUAUUGUCAUCGAAAAUACAUAAAUAGAGGUGGUAAGACCCUCGGGGCAGCCCCUGUGUCCCUGCAUUGCCAGAGCUGGAACUAACUGGGUUCCAGUAAGAUUUACUGACAUACACAAAGUGAUGGAAACACAUAAAAAUGAAGAAGUGUUUAUCUGGAGUAAGUUUGGCCCCAAUACAUCAGGGAGUAAGUCAU